rnacentral:rRNA from 1 species
ACACUCCUACGGGAGGCAGCAGUGGGGAAUCUUGCGCAAUGGGCGAAAGCCUGACGCAGCCAUGCCGCGUGAAUGAUGAAGGUCUUAGGAUUGUAAAAUUCUUUCACCGGGGACGAUAAUGACGGUACCCGGAGAAGAAGCCCCGGCUAACUUCGUGCCAGCAGCCGCGGUAAUACGAAGGGGGCUAGCGUUGCUCGGAAUUACUGGGCGUAAAGGGAGCGUAGGCGGACAUUUAAGUCAGGGGUGAAAUCCCGGGGCUCAACCUCGGAAUUGCCUUUGAUACUGGGUGUCUUGAGUAUGAGAGAGGUGUGUGGAACUCCGAGUGUAGAGGUGAAAUUCGUAGAUAUUCGGAAGAACACCAGUGGCGAAGGCGACACACUGGCUCAUUACUGACGCUGAGGCUCGAAAGCGUGGGGAGCAAACAGGAUUAGAUACCCUAGUAGUCCCAUGAU